CAACAGCUGAAAGGAGGUGGUCCAGUGUCUCAUUGUCUCCAACCGCGGUCGCACGUCGUGACCUGGAGCCUUAAGAUCGAGGUCUCCGCCUGAGGCGUCGAACGCCAAAGGUUUGAGUCACGGCCGCGAUAGCGGCUACGACGAUGGAAGGGCCGCCCGGAGCAAUCCGAGCGGCCC
rnacentral:sRNA from 1 species